AAAAAAAAUAAUUAAAAAAAGGAAACCAUACUUAGUGUUAUAGUACCAUAUGAAAAAUAGCCCUCUGCUACAGCCAAGCAUUUGAAGCCACUCUUUUGUUAUGGUGCUGUGGCUUGCCACAAGAGCCAUUUUAACUGGUCCAAGCUGCUUCGGAUUCCCAUACACACGCACAGCAAGACUGUCAUCAUAUUUGUUACCGGAAUUGCAGGUUUUUUUGCAUAAUAAUUUCUAGAGUUUAAGUUGUUGGACAUAGUGGCUAUUUGCUUUUAUAAAUCCUUUUUUCCUCAAAUGUUUACUGCCCACGGAUUGAAAAAUAUUAGAUAGGUCUAAAAACGUGAUCAACAUGAGUAACUUCAGGAAUGUAAGAGCACAGAAUAAUAAACUGAUGUGUGAUUUGUCAGCCAGGUGCUCUAUUCAUGAAGGAUGUUAAUUUGUAAAUAUUCUGCUACACUCUCAGCCCAAGCUAUAAUAGCUCAGAAUUUUAUCUUUAGAGAUGUUUAUCUCAACCUAGUCUGUUGACAGAGUAUGGCAGGCUACGGACGAGCUCUACAACUAGCUGUUAAGGCUAAGGUUUGUGAAUGAAUGUCAUACGAGGUCAGGUCCACUUACAACAAUGUGAAGAGUACCUAAGCUUGAAGAUUGUAAUGCCUGUAGGACAGGUUGUAUCUGCUAUCUGAUAAAGAUGCUUAUCGUUACAAGACUAUAUUUUUAAACUGUUUUUCUUACAUUGAACUUUAAAUAAAAUGUUAGAAACAACAACAACAAAAAAAAAUAAUAAAAAAAUAAGAUGGCCUUUAUCCUGAUUUAUGCCAUCUCAGAGAACUUGCCCCACAUCCGGCAAGAGAACUUCAGUUGAUUUCUUUCAGGCAGCCUUGGCUAAGAUUGUAAUCAGUUUAUACCAAAAAUGUAUGGGUUCUGAUUAGAAUCAGCUAAGCCACGGUGUCAGCUGCAUGUGUUCAUUUACACAGUGCUGUCAGUUUGCUUCAAUUGGAAAAUAUCCUGCAGUUGCGUAAAUCGCUGAGGGGGGAGCUAAGAUCAGACUGGUAUUUGCAGGUUCAGUUAAACGGGGGGGCUGACACGGUGAAUGCUACCUCCCUCCCUCACUAGCCGCUUUCUUUUUUGCAGGUUUGUACGUAUGCAGCUGCUGAAUGCAGAAACGCGUUCUGAAGUUACAAGUUUGCAGACCAGCUCGUGGGAGUAAGCUGAAAUGGGCAGCAGUUGAUGUGAGUCUGUCCUGUAAGGUUAGGCUCAGCCGAUGGAUAGAACCUGAGUGGUUUUGAUGAUAGAAUUUGUUACUUAAUUUCCCUCUGCUCUGAACAUCCCCUUUGCAUUUCAUCAAGCCUUGCUAGAUUUGCACGGUUGUCAUUUCAUUUGGAGUUCUCCGUAUGUUUUUCCCUUUCCUUCUCUCUUUUUCAGUUUUCUUUCUUACUUUGCUGAACUUGUUUCAUCUUUGCUUUCAUAGCUCUUGCACUGAUAUUUUGGCACAUUAUCCUUUUCCUGCUUAACAGUGCUUCUUUAAAUCAGUUCUCUUUUCUAGCAGCCCGUUUCUUCUGGUUAGGUCCAUCUCAAUCUCUCAGUUUGGCAAUCCUACGUAGCAGUUCCCAACUGCCAAGUCUUAUCUGUGAUUCCCAGUUGCCCCGUUUUAAUGUUUGCUGCUUUUUAUGUCCCAUAUCCAACAAGAGGAUAACAACGUGGUUGUAUAUCUGGUUUGGAAACCGAAGACUUGCAUGACUAACAGAGCCGCUCUUUGCAUAUAUACGCAUUGAAGACUGAGAGAGAUGAUACUAUGAGCUGUUAAUGAGUAAUAUUUUUCUCACCAGGCCCCAUCAUGACACAGGUUAUUUAAAAUAGUUCAUCUGGAACCUGGGUUUUAGUCUUGCCUUUCGCUCCACACUCAAAGCCUGUGGUUAAUCAAUAUAAAAUAGACACACAGCUUGUUGGGCAGUAAUCCUUACAUGACACAUUUACUGCUGAGAAAAAAACUAGCAUUCUGCUUGCUAUUUUGUUAAUCCUGUAAUUACUGUUGUUGUUAAUGGUGUUGACUGAAGUUCAAUUGAAUUUUACUUGUGUAUGAACUUCUGAAAUUGGGCCUAACUUUGCCAUUCUACCAAACUUGUUUACUCCAAGCCCUGCCCUUGCUGUCUGCUCAUAGGAGUUUUGUGCCAUACCCGUCCUCAUUGCUUCCUUUCCUUUCUUCUUCAUCCUAUUUCCUUUUUACUUCCGUUGCAUUGAUUUGUAUAGUUUCCCUCUUACAGACAAACAAACAAGCAAAAAAACAUUCACUGGUCUGAAAAUCCUGAUGUAAUUGAUCCCUUUUCCCAAGACUCUGUCUAUCUUGUAUAAAUUGAUGAUAAGCAUCUCAUUCAGGUCACAGGUGGCCUACUAUACGCAAAAUACCACCCGCAAGUUAGUUCUUAAGCACAAUAUAAAAAAAUAGAUGUAAUAAUAAUGAUAACUAUGCAAGUAGCCCCGUUGAUUUUAACAUAAUUGUUGAAAGUAAGUGGUCAGAAUAAACAGCAAAAAGGAUGCCUUACGCUACAUUGAAAUAAGAUGAAGAUGCAUUUAAGCAAGUAUUUACAAUAUAACUUUAAAAAGCACCUUAUUUAACUGCUCGUCUCUUGCCAUUUGCAUAUAAUAAUAAUAUUGCUAUUAGAUUCUUCUUAUAGUUAUUCAUUGUGGAUAGUAUUGUACUGAGUACUUAAUCCCAGAGCUUAGUGGUCUCAAUCACCCGAGGCGAUAUGAUGUUACACAUCAUGUAGAACGAGAGAGAGAAGAGGUUGUGCUCUGAAAGGUUGUGUGGAGGCCUAAUAUCUAUAUGCAGCAUCUCUAGGCAAUGCCUAUGUUCAAACAGGGAGGAGCUUUAUAGAAAAUGGUAAAUCAAUGCCAAUGCUAGCCUCUACAGGUGUUCAACAUGAGCUCAUCCUGAGCAACAACAUGGGACAAAGCAGGAAGGUCUUUAUUUGAAAAUGCAUUAGUAGAAUUCAAUUGCGUUGGCUGGCUUAUAUAUAGGAGCCAUGCUUUGUGGAACAAAAGGUAAGUAGGACGGGAUCGAUGCGUGAAUGGGCUUGCAAUUGAACUCUAACAGUUUUGUGUGUGAUAGAAAAGACUUGCUUUGAAAAGAUGUGGAGAACUAGCAUAAACAGAUUAACCAAAAAAAAUGUAUUGAAGAAGCUUUCUGAAUGGAAAUGGAUGAUUUAUUUGUUGAGGCCAGAGAAAAGGAUGUCGGCGAUAAAGGAGAUUAGAAGAACCUGUGCAAGAGUCCCAGCCACAUCAAUAAAUCACAGAUUUACAUCUCCCUACCUUGAUUUACAUCUCCACGGCAGUUUAGAUCAAUCUGAGCUUGAACCUCACAUUCCUGGUAGUGAGGUUCCACCCCCUCCUUUGCACAGCUGGCUGUAAAAUAACUCAGUAAAAAAGUGGUUGUAUUCAGUCAGAUCGUUUGUCUAGCGCACGGUCAUUACCGAGACAGCUUAGGUUUGAAAGGAGGCAGUAGUACGAGGCUGUCAGAGAAGGAAAGGGAGGAGAGACUUGAGAUCAGAGCUCAUCAGUGCUCUUGCAGAAGAGGGGAAAAAAACACAAGAGGAACCUACUGAUGUGCCAAGUUGAAACAGCAUUUGGGGAAGCAGCAAUGGCAAGAAUAAUUGCAAAAGCUAAGAUAGGUGGAUAAUUAGCUGUGCUAAAAGUGACCGACGACCAAGAGAUCAGUUUAAGAUCUGUUGAGAAACUUUCAGAUGACUAGAGGAAGCAAAACUGUUUUUGAAGUGGAUUUAGGGUAGAACCAGACAAGAGAUGUGGUUGGAAGACUUUUAAAAGUGAGGUGAGGAGAAGCACUUCUACUGAAGGAUGUUUAAUUUUUACCUUGUAUGUGAAAGAGACAAGCGUAUCUGUGUGGGUGCUGGGCGGUCAGAGCAGAGCAAAUGACUGAAGGUGUGAACAAAUGAAAGAGCGAAUGUGAGGGUGAUCAGGAAAUUAAAUAGGAUGAGGUCAAUAGGGCAAGUGAUGGAGUUAUGGAGGACAUUUAGAUAAGAUGUUUGUUAUCACUUAGAGAUUUGUAGAAAGAGGAAGCAUCAUGAGAAUAUUUUCUUAAUUUUAUCUUUAAAGAAAAUUGUGAGAUAGCAAAUAGAGGAAAGCAGAAAGAAAGGCUUGAAAUGGGUUAGUCAGCAGCAAUAAAAAGCUAGCUAGGAUUGCAGGCAUGCAGAUAAGCUGCACAAGUAGAAUGGUUUAGCUGUAAGAAGGCAGAAAUGGAGGAGGGAGCAGGCUUGCAGGAGGGGAAGUUAGCUUGAUCACAGGAUUUCCGUCAGAAACGCUUUACACUGCACAAGCAAGCAUGGAUGAAGCAGGUGCUGAAGACAAGGAGGUUUGGCCAGAGCCGGCAGCCUCUGUGGGCCGGGUACCACACUCUUCCUCGCACCUGGCUUCCCCUGCUGAGUAUCUUGGAAAUGCCCACGGCAGGAAUGUGGGCUGGUACUUGUGUUGCGCUACAGACCAGAUGAUGUUGAUCAGGGCGCGGGUGUCGUGUCCCGUUUCCAAAGCAUCCACAAAGAGCUUGGAAAUCCUCUCUCCAAACUCCACGUUGUCGCUGCAGCCUCCCCAGACCCAGCCGCGGCCACCUGCAAGACAGAUGUGUGGUAAGAACAGAACCACCCUGGUGGACUGAAUCCUGCCCCAGGACUUGCACCGAGCUGACGGCUGGGAUGACCCCAGCCCAUCUUGUCAGCUUGGAGGGGGCUGGAGCCCAGCCGCGGCAGGCAGUACACCAGCAGCUCACCGACGCGCCCGUUCCUGGAGUCGUCGCAGCCGCAGCUCUCGAAGUCACCCAUGCUGCAGUUCCUGGUCAGGGUGUACAUGACACCGGCGGAGCUGAUGGCGUGCACGAAGGACGUCUCCCUGGUAGCUGGGGGAGAGGAGAAAAAAGCUGUCACAUGCAAACGUACGCACUGGUCCUGGUUUAUUGAAAAGGGUGCUCUCUUGUGAAAUCUUCUGUAUUGCAAAGGUGCAAGAAGUGAAUAACAAAACAGUUUGUGCAAAAGGUCCUGUCAUCAGAAAGUUGUUCACAGACCUGAAACGAAGAGAAGAAAACGAGUUGCACAAUUUAACACAGGCUCAAGAGCAUCCCUCAGAAAUGCCCCUUCUGCUGAAUCCUACCAUGCUGCUGCGUUGAAAAUGACACCACAGAUGCCCACGAUGGAGAGGCUGAGGAAGGUGGUGCUGCUCAUGGCUGUCAAACCCCAGGAGUUGGAUCCCUCCGGCUGAUCCUCAGCUCCCACGCCGCAGGUCUCUGGGCAGGGCCGCCUCUCCGCACCGAGUUCCAGCGUAUCUCAAGAUAUUCGGGUCCAGGAAAGCUGCAGGAACCUACAACCCUGAUAUUUAUAAGGUGAAGUUCUGAAUAGUCAAAACCCCCCAUUCAUUUGCUACCCAAUGACUUAAUGUGGUAAAAAAGCUCCUGCGCCAAUGGGUGACAAGGAAACGCCUAAUGUUGCACUUCAAAAGGCAGAGUGGUGUCACCGGGAGCUGUGAUGAUGUGAGGAGAGCAAACUUCCCUAACAAUGGGCGACUUUUAACUCCACUCCACACCAGCACCAUCCCUUUCUUUCUGCCCCAAGUGCACUUGCCUUCUCCCUUUCACACCCUGCUUGCGAGCAGAGGCCGGGCCUCUGCGCGCCCUGCAAUAACAAACUGGUGCAUUUCUAUGGUCCCCCUGCCAGCCGCCUGCUCCCUACCAGGAGAGCUCCCCGAGGAGUUUUAACAGCACUCCUAUACGGAUCCACCGGGGGUAGACCUCCCAGCUCUUCUCGAUUUGAUGAGAUUCGUUUAACGGCGUUUUUUUUUUUUUCCCCUCCUCGCCUCCUUAUGAUGAAAGUUUCUGUAUUUCCAUCCUGAUAACAACAGCGUGCACGUCGCGGGAGUGUUUGGAAAUCUCUCUAAUUUACGCGGCUGCAGCUUGGGAACACUGUGUGAAUCACUUAUGUGGUUUGCUCCAUGCUUCAACGCUGUAAUUAGGGGAACAGUUUUCCGGGGGUAGCAAUUUCCCUGCAGUGAGGUCUGCCCCAGCAGCAGCCGGGCUCUGCCUGGCUCCACGCACGUGAGCACUGCUGUGAGCCGAGCGAGGGCCCUCUGCUUCAUACCCCUGUGCUUGGGAGGGGGAAAUCCUUAUCAGAGGAAACGCCAAAAAGCCUCUUGAUAGUUAUGGUCAUCCAUAUGUUAUACAUCAAUAUUACAGUGUUACGUAUCAAUGGUUAUGGUCAUCCAUAAUAGUUGUGGUACAUCCUUCAGGCAGUAAUGGAGGAGAAGCAAGACUUUGUUCAUGGAAACCUCUUGUUUUGUUUUCCUGUGGCUGCGCAGGGCUCAUCCUUGUCCCACUGCUCUUGUUAUCCCAUCGAGAUGGUGACAUCUGGUCUCCUGCUGUUACUAGCUGUAACUGCGAGGUGAUGCACUAAGGGCCUGCAGCCUGGAUGUUUCAGCAGCUUGGAUUGCGCCGCACGCUGCUGUGCUGGCCGGGGGCAGAGGAGCCAGUGGGAAUAAAGACUUGUGCCGCAAACGUGAUUGCAAAGUGCUCUGUGGUCUGCUGCGAAAUGCGUGCGAGCACGGUGAGCAGCUGCAUGGUUUUCCACAUCCUGGCGCUGGGUGCCCAAGGCCCUGCGCACACACACGGCUCUGCUGGGGCACUCCUCAGACCCAUCCCAGCAGCUCCGUGCCCCUUCUGGCCUUGGGGAGCACAGGGACCCCCCUGCCCUGCUCCCCGUGUCGGUCAGCGGGUGAGAGGAACCUCCCCGGCCAGCCCACGCAGAAGGGAAACCUGGAGUCAGCGCGGCAAAGCCACAAACAACUGUUUGCAGUCAGAGGAUUAAAGAUGCAGAUUGGUUCAGAAGCAGGGAUGCAAAAUACCUUCCAAGUGAGCACCACGCUGGUGUACUCCUGCCAGCAUGGCAAAACCCUCUGUGAGUCAGCAUUUUAAUCAUUACCAUCCUGAGCAGAUCCUACUUGUUAGAGCUGUCAAAGUACAAUUACUGGGAAUGAAGUGUUUCCCAUGUAUCAGUGAGGUUCAUUGAUUAAAGCCCAUGCAUAUGACUUGGAAAUCUGCUGUGCAUUUUCUCUAUGCAUGCAUGUCAUUUUGGGGUUUGUGUCUGGCUGUCCCCGGGGGCAUAUUGGUGGUUUUGUUUUAUUUUUUUU